rnacentral:rRNA from 1 species
UCCGUAGGUGGAUAAUUAAGUCAGAGGUGAAAUCCUGCAGCUCAACUGUAGAAUUGCCUUUGAUACUGGUUAUCUUGAGUCAUUAUGAAGUGGUUAGAAUGUGUAGUGUAGCGGUGAAAUGCAUAGAUAUUACAUAGAAUACCAAUUGCGAAGGCAGAUUACUAAUAAUCAACUGACACUGAUGGACGAAAGCGUGGGGAGCGAACAGGAUUAGAUACCCUGGUAGUCC